UACGGCGGGGGCUAGCGUUGUUCGGAAUUACUGGGCGUAAAGCGCACGUAGGCGGCUUUGUAAGUUAGAGGUGAAAGCCCAGGGCUCAACCCUGGAAUUGCCUUUAAGACUGCAUCGCUAGAAUUGUGGAGAGGUAAGUGGAAUUCCGAGUGUAGAGGUGAAAUUCGUAGAUAUUCGGAAGAACACCAGUGGCGAAGGCGACUUACUGGACACAUAUUGACGCUGAGGUGCGAAAGCGUGGGGAGCAAACAGG
rnacentral:rRNA from 1 species